AAGGGACCUAGCGUAGUUCGGAAUUACUGGGCUUAAAGAGUUCGUAGGUGGUUGAAAAGGUUGGUGGUGAAAUCCCAGAGCUUAACUCUGGAACUGCCAUCAAAACUUUUCAGCUAGAGUAUGAUAGAGGAAAGCAGAAUUUCUAGUGUAGAGGUGAAAUUCGUAGAUAUUAGAAAGAAUACCAACUGCGAAGGCAGCUUUCUGGAUCAUUACUGACACUGAGGAACGAAAGCAUGGGUAGCGAAGAGGAUUAGAUACCCUCGUAGUCCAUGCCGUAAACGAUGUGUGUUAGACGUUGGAAAUUUAUUUUCAGUGUCGCAGGGAAACCGAUAAGCACACCGCCUGGGGAGUACGACCGCAAGGUUAAAACUCAAAUGAAUUGACGGGGACCCGCACAAGUAGUGGAGCAUGUGGUUUAAUUCGAAGAUGCGCGCAGAACCUUACCAACACUUGACAUGUUCGUCGCGACUCUAAGAGAUUAGAGUUUUCGGUUCGGCCGGACGAAACACAGGUGCUGCAUGGCUGUCGUCAGCUCGUGUCGUGAGAUGUUGGGUUAAGUCCCGCAACGAGCGCAACCCUCACUUUUAGUUGCCAUCAUUAAGUUGGGCACUCUGAAAGAACUGCCAGUGAUAAGCUGGAGGAAGGUGGGGAUGACGUCAAGUCCUCAUGGCCCUUAUGUGUUGGGCUACACACGUGCUACAAUGGCAUCUACAACAGGAAGCAAAACGGCAACGUUAAGCAAAUCCCGAAAAGAUGCCUCAGUUCGGAUUGCACUCUGCAACUCGAGUGCAUGAAGCUGGAAUUACUAGUAAUCGUGGAUCAGCGUGCCACGGUGAAUGCGUUCCCGGGUCUUGUACUCACCGCCCGUCACACCAUGGGAGUUGGUUCUACCUUAAGGCAAGGUUUCAAACCCUUGACCACGGUAUAGUCAGCGACUGGGGUGAAGUCGUAACAAGGUAGCCGUAGGGGAACCUGCGGCUGGAUUACCUCCUUUCUAAGGAUGAGUGAAAGAGAAAAAUUUCACUCUAAAUAAUAUACAUCGGUAAUGUUGACCGUCCUCAUUUCUCUUCUUAAAGUAAUGUUUCCUUCUUGUAGGGCCGGUAGCUCAGCUGGUUAGAGCACACCCUUGAUAAGGGUGGGGUCGAAAGUUCGAGUCUUUCUCGGCCCACCAAAAACCUAAAUGGGGGAUUAGCUCAUCUGGGAGAGCGCCUGAUUUGCAUUCAGGAGGUAGCAGGUUCGAUCCCUGUAUCCUCCACCAGGAAACAUUUAGUUAUUAAAACUGUAAAUAAAAAUAAUUUAUAUCAAUAUCUAUAUCCGAACAUUAAAAGUUAUUAUUUAAUGUUCAAAGUAAAAAUUUGAUCACAACAUGGAUAAAUUUUCUGUUAAAAGAAUUUUUUUCUGUGCAUAAAUCAAGCGUUUAAGGGCGUGUAGUGGAUGCCUUGGCACUGAAAGCCGAUGAAGGACGUGAUAUGCUGCGAUAAGUUUCGGGGAGCUGUAUGUAAGCUUUGAUCCGAAAAUUU
rnacentral:sRNA from 1 species